AAGCAGGAUUUAGACUACAAUAUAGCUGUCUGUGCUGUGUUGUUGUUCCUCCUGCUGAAAAACAAAGCGUUUCUCUACUAUACCUGUCUGCUUUAUCCUGUAGCAGAGAUGCUUGGUCUCAUACAU
ensembl:snoRNA SNORA63 Small nucleolar RNA SNORA63